UGGCAGAGAUUCAGAACUGUCUGUGGGGUU
rnacentral:piRNA from 1 species